rnacentral:rRNA from 1 species
CCUCAGUAACGGCGAGUGAAGCGGUAACAGCUCAAAUUUGAAAGCUACCAACAGGUCGUAUUGUAAUUUGUAGAAGAUGCUUUGGGUGUUGACCUAGUCUAAGUUCCUUGGAACAGGACGUCAUAGAGGGUGAGAAUCCCGUAUGUGAUUAGUGUCAGCCCCCGUGUAAAGCUCUUUCGACGAGUCGAGUUGUUUGGGAAUGCAGCUCGAAAUGGGUGGUAAAUUUCAUCUAAAGCUAAAUAUUGGCCAGAGACCGAUAGCGCACAAGUAGAGUGAUCGAAAGAUGAAAAGCACUUUGGAAAGAGAGUUAAACAGUACGUGAAAUUGUUGAAAGGGAAGCGCUUGCAAUCAGACUUGCAGGCAGUCGAUCAUCCGAGGUUCUCCCCGGUGCACUCGAUUGUCUUCAGGCUAGCAUCGGUUUCGGUGGUGGGAUAAAGGCUGUGGGAAUGUGGCUCUUCGGAGUGUUAUAGCCCACGGUGCAAUGCCGCCUACCGGGACCGAGGACCGCGCUUCGGCUAGGAUGCUGGCGUAAUGGUUGUAAGCGACC